GGUGGCAAGCCAAAGGUAUAUCGCUAGAGUUUUCAUUUCCUUCCAAGCACAUGGGAGUUUUUUCUGCCAUCAGAGUGUGACCUCAAAGAGUCACUUUUCGGGGUGACAGCAUGGUUCAAAAGACAUGACUUGUUGGGUGGGUAUGGGAGGUUUUGGGUGUGCUUAUGUGUGGGGCGAGGUGAAUUUGGCUUCCACCUGGCAAGUUUUCUCUUCCUUUUUUUUCUAACACAGCUGAUGGGCUGAGUCUUUGUCAUCAUUACCCUCACUCCUGAUUCCCAUUCUCCUUAGGGCUUAGGUCUUUGGAAGCUCUUGGACUGGGUUUGGGUUGGGAUUGGAGGCUGUGGGUUUGGAGGCAUCUUCGAGGGCACUGCCCGUCUCUGCCCGAGUGAUGCUCUGACCACAGACGAAUUCACCGUUCACUGUAAAAAUCAAAUACCUGGUCCUUGCAUGGUUUCCCCCUCCCCCUUUUGACGAGACAAUUGAUGUGCCACCUCCAGUGUAUCUGCUUGGGUUGGAGGACUUGCUUCAACCUCCUCUAGAACAACCAGCGUGUCUUUGGGUUUAUUGCAGUUUACAGGAUCUCUAAGUUAUUUAAGCACUAGAGAGGUGAGAGAUGAAAAAGGGAAAGAUACAAUGGGAACCAUUUUUUUAAACAACUUUAUUGAGAUAUGAUUUACAUAGUGUAAAAUUUACACAUUUCAAGGGUUCUACGCAAUAAUUUUUAGUAAAUGUACUGAGCUGUGCAACCGACACCAUAAUCUAGUUUUAGGACAUUUUCUUUCUUUCUUUCUUUCUUUUUUUUUUUUUGAGACACAGUCUCGCUGUGUCGUUCAGGCUGGAGUGCAGUGACCGGAUCUCAGCUCACUGCAAGCUCUGCCUCCCGGGUUCACACCAUUCUCCUGCCUCAGCCUCCCGAGUAGCUGGAACUACAGGCGUGUGCCACCUCACCUGGCUAGUUUUUUGUAUUUUUUAGUAGAGACGGGGUUUCACCGUGUUAGCCAGGAUGGUCUCGAUCUCCUGACCCCGUGAUCCGCCCGUCUCGGCCUCCCAAAGUGCUGGGAUUACAGGCUUGAGCCACCGUGCCCAGCCGGGACAUUUUCAUAACCCUGAUAAGACUCCAUAUGCUGAUCCUAGUCCAUUCCCAGGCAGCCACUAAUCUGCUGUCUCUAUAGAUCUGCCUAUUCUGGACGUUUUAUAUAAAUGGAAGCCUGCAAUAUGUGGGUUUUGCACCGGCUAUCGCGUGAUGUUUUUGAGGUCUAUACAUGUAGUGAUACAUUGCUGAAUAGUAUUCCACUGUAAGGACAUAGUGCGUGUUAUUUACUAAUUCACUGGUUGAUGGACACUUGGGGUGUUUCUGCUUUUUGGGCGGUUGUGAAUAAUGCUGCUGUGAGCAUUCGCAUAGACGUCUGUGUGUGGACAUAGGUUUUCAUUUCUCUUGGGGAGAUUCCUGGGAGCAGGAUUCCUGGGUCACAUGGCAAAUUUAUGUUGACAUUUUUAAGAACUCAUUGAACUGUCUUCCAAAGUGGCUGUGCCAUUCUGCAUUCCUGCCAGCAGUGUUUGACUGGAACCAGCCAAUUUUUUUUAUCUUCUUAUAAACUGGGUGGUGAAGAGGUUUAUUAGACACCGCUGCGUGUGAAAUGCAACCAUUGGUAUCUGCCUGUGGGCAGCAGACCCUCACUGGGGCCUUGAUAACACACAGGAAAAGCCUCCACACCGGUUUUCACAUUGGCUCCCCCAGCAAAAUUCAGAGCUUCCAGACCGCAAAAGGAUCCAUAGUCAUGGCUCCUUCUCCCUUCUCCCCUCCAGUCUUGCUAGCCACACACCCCUGCAGUCCAUCUCCUUCCAAAAAGGAUUCGCUUUUAUAAAAGAUGCUCUGUGUCACACUCUUGCUAAUUUAGCGACUUUAUUGGACAACGUGAUUUACCAUCCGUGGCCUGCCUUCGAAUGGAUUCAUUUACCUGCAUUGAUUGCUGUAUGUCGGUGUUAACUGCCACCAGAAAAUGCACAGCGGUGCUUAAAAACGGUGUAGCAUUUUGCUUUCUGAUAAUGAUAGUUAACUCCAUCUUUGAUCGCCAAUGACAUGGUAUUCCCCUUCUGAAGAUAGACCUAAAUUGCAUAACUCUGUUCCUUGGUGAUGAGAAAAUAAAUUACUUUUCUACACUGUGUUCGGCUAAGUGCUUCAUCAAUUUGGGUUCUUUAGUAGGUUUUCAUUCUUUUCUGGGGGUGCUCUUUUGCUUCUCAAAGUGGGAUCCUCGGACACGCAGCAUCAGCACCCCCUGGGGACUUGUUAGGAAUGCAGAAUCUCAAGCCCCACCCCCGACCUUCUGAGUCCGAGUUUGUACUUUAACAGGAUUCCCAGGCGAUGGAUGUGCACGGGAAGUUCUAGAAGCACUGCUCUAAGCCAUGGGUCAGCAAAAUAAGGCCUUGAAGGCCACAUCCAGUCAGCUCAGUGGUUAUAUAAAUAAAGUUUUAUUGGAACACAGCCACGCCCGCUCAUGUAUGUGUUGUUGUUUUGUGGCUACUCGGCAUUCACCUGCAGAACUGAGUAGCUGCCACGGAGACUUGACGGGCUGCAGAGCCAAAAAUGUGUAUUCCUGGGUCUUUACAGAAAAUGCUUGCCCACCUGUGCUCUGGAGAUGGUUUUAUUUUUAUUUACUUAUGUAUGUUUUAAAUUACUAGCUUUUUCUUGUUUAGUAUUACUCAUUUUGCAUUUAUUUUACAUUUUGGGACAUUUUACAUUUCUUUUUUCAGCUAAGUUAUGAGUGCUGUUCAACCCCAGUUUACUUUAGAUACUAUCCCUUAGAAUGAGAUAAUGAAAAUUAGAAGAAGCUCAGGCUUCAGAUUCUGGUCUACAAACUAAAACGUUUUGAGGAUCCCUGAGGUGGCUGGUUAGCUCUGUUUUUAUGUCAUUGUAUUUUUUUUGCAAGCAAGGGGGUUCGUGGAUUGUGAAUCUGGAAGACCAUAUAUAAACAUUCACAAAUUAGGAUGGGGAAGAAAAGAAUUCCUUUGUCGAAUCAUAGUGUCUGGUUAGGUUGGGAAAAUAUAGGGAGACGAGCCAUGGGAGGCACCUUGGAAAGGGAAGCAGGCAAGACUGGGGUCCCCUCCAGGAAUGGCCUGCACUUGGUUUAAUGUUCUGCUGCCGCCAUCUUGAAAUUUAUAAUUUUUGAACAAGGCACCUGUAUUAGUUUGGUUCUCCGGGGAAACAGAACCAUGUAUAGGCUGAGUGUCUCUUAUCCAAAAUGCUUGGGACUGGAAUCUUUGUGCAUUCUGUAUCUUUUCAGAUUUGGGAUAUUUUGUGUUAUGCUUACUGGUUGAGCACCCAUAAUCUGAAAUUCUGAAAUCCAAAAUGCUCCAGUGAGCAUUUCUUUUGAGCAUCAUGUUGGUGCUCAGAACGUUCUGGAGCAUUUCGGAUGAUUGCAUUAGGGAUGCUCAAUCUGUGUAUUAUAAUCCCAGCACUUAGGGAGGCUGAAGUGGGCAGAUCACUUGAGGUCAGGAGUUCAAGACCAGCCUGGCCAACAUGGUGAAACCCAGUCUCUACUAAAAAUACAAAAAUUAGCUGAGCGUGGUGGUGGGCACCUGUAAUCCCAGCUACUUAGGAGGCUGAGGCAGGGGAAUCGCUUGAACCUGGGAGGCAGAGGUUGCAAUGAGUCAAGAUCAUACCACUGCACUCUAGCUUGGGCUACCGAGCAAGACUCUAUCUAAAAAAAAAAAAAAAA
rnacentral:lncRNA from 1 species